AUUCCUUACACUGGUUGUGUUAUAAAGAACAGCUGUGGAUCAGGGGGAAAUACACACAGUGGUGCAAGUUGAAACUUACAUUUUAAAGCUCCCACCAUCCAUACUUUUCUACAGAGCUUUCCAUCAAUGCUAGCAUCCGUCCUAUAUAACACACAACUUCUUGAAAGAACACAUUGGAGAGAAAGGAACCUCUGACCCAAGAGAAAAAAAAAGAACCUUUGUGUGCUGCUCUCUUGGGACAUGUGAUACCUUCUACAAGUUGCCCCUUUGAAAUUUUUUGUUUGAAACCAGUGUUGAUAUCUGCAAAAACUCUUAUUUUGCCAGCUGUAAAAGACUAUAUGUCUGAUGGCUGGGAUGUGUGUAAGGAGCUCUUGGCUGGAGAGUCUUUGGGGAGUUCAAGGAGAGCUGAGAGGCCUCGGACACCUCUCCAGUAUGCACUGAGGAAGGAGUCUCCAGAAUCAGUGGUGUACAGUAAGCAUAGGAAGACUUGCAUGCAUACAGCCCUGCUUUGUCUAACAGAAUAAAGGGGAGAUCAAAGUGUGUUUGUCUCAAACACUUUCGGAUAAAUUUGCCUUUAUGUUUAAUGCUAUAUGUAAAUACAUAUU